UUUAUACUCCCUCCGUCCGGAAUUACUUGCCGUGAAAAUGGAUGAAAGUGGAUGUAUCUAGAACUAAAAUAUGUCUAGAUACAUCCAUUUCUCCGACAAGUAAUUCCGGAUGGAGGGAGUAUAUC
rfam:Triticum aestivum genome assembly, contig: Triticum_aestivum_CS42_TGACv1_scaffold_622118_7DS